UACCUCGAGACCAAGCCACACAUGGGCAACGCCCAUCCAGUGCAGUCACAUGAUUCAAACUCUGCUUUCAGUUCUUGCAUGCUGCUGAUUCUUGAUCUCUGUACUGUACUGUGGCUGCUCAACAAGACUUUAAUCCUUGAAGGUUUGAAACAUGUAUGGUGGUGGAGGAAACAACGACUGUAAAGUGUACAUAGGGAACCUACCCCCUGAUAUCAGGUCUCGUGAUUUGGAGGACCUCUUCUACAAGUAUGGCAAAAUUGUUGAUGUCGAUCUCCACAGUAACAACAGAGGGUCACCGUUUGCUUUCAUAGAGUUUGAAGACAACAGGGAUGCCGAUGAUGCUGUGAAGGGCAGAGAUGGCUACAGCUUUGAUGGCUAUCGUAUCAAAGUGGAGUAUCCGAACAGCUCAAACAAGGGUCGUGGUGACCGUAAUGACCGUGGUGAUCGCGAUCGCGGUGGUGACCGUGGUGGAUAUAGAGGCGGCCGUGACUCAGGGGGUCGAGGGGGAUUCAACCGUGGGAGCAGGCCAAGGGGGUAUCAACUCCUCGUGUCUGGGUUGCCCCCCACGGGUUCAUGGCAGGACCUCAAGGAUCACUUCCGUGAAGCUGGUGAUGUGAUCUACACUGAUGUAUACAAGGAUGGCACUGGGACGGUGGAGUACUCACGUCAAGAACACAUGAAGAGGGCACUCAGGGAUUUGGAUGACAGCAAGUUCAAAUCUCAUGAGGGUGAGGUUACUUACAUCCGUGUGAAGGACCCAAGAAACUCUCGUUCCCCUUCUCCACGAUCUCGUUCCCGCUCACCUCGAGCUCGUUCUCGUUCACCUCGGGCCCGUUCCCGUUCUCCCCGGGCUCGAUCCCGUUCCCACUCCCCACGGCCCAGCAAAUACAGCCGUCAGAGUCGAUCUCGUAGCAGGUCCCGCUCACAUUCCCGUUAAAAAGGGCCCAUCAAACAAACUGUUGCAUGAAAAACUUCUUGGAUGUUCUCUGCACUUGUCAGACUGUACUAGCGUAACACUAUUGUGGAUUGGAGUGGAUAAUUCCUAAUCUCAUGCAAGGGACAAAGAUUUACUGGAUUAGUGGAUAUGGAUAACAUUUGGAGGGAUCAAUUCAUGGAUUAUGGGAGCAAUUCAUAGGAUUCAUAGGAUUCAUAGGAUUGAGCAUUAAGGAUCUCUGUCACCUGCCUAUAAGGAUAAUCAUGGAUUGGAUGGACAUGGGAUUGUAAAUGUACGCCCCCCUGUAAAUAUUUUAUGUAGCCGGUUUAGGAGUUAUUCUUAAUUUAGGGUCCAUCCAAAUUUGCUGUAGGGUACACGGAUUGAAAUCAUACAUAAUAGUUCUUUCCAACAAAUGCACAUACAUUUGGUAUAGUAAUUAUCAUGUGACGAUUAUUUCUGGGUCAUUUGAGUCAAUGAUUGGUUCUGUACAGUCUGUCCAUUCCGUGUGUUGAGCUGUUAGCAGUUUCUCCACUGGGAAUGUAUGUAUUGCAAGGUCAUUGAAUACUGUGCUGUCAGGGUAGGUGUUAGAAAGGGUCACCUCCGUGGAGUACUGUAGUGCCUGGGUUUGAGUUAAGAGUACUUACGAGUCACAUUGUUGGUCUCUACAAUGUGACACGUGUGUGAAUUAAUUCAUGAAUAGGAUACUCUGUGUAUGUAAGGUGUCUCCUUGGCCAGAUGCUUUGUAGGCAGCCUGUAAUCAAAGGGCAAUUAAAGUUUUAAAAGUGUGUGUGUCGUUUACCUCUCCAAAUAGCUGCUGAGUCUAUUCCCAAUGAUUGUCACACACGGUAGUGAGGUUGGGCUCCAGUUAGACCACAGUAGGUUAUUGUACAUAGCUCUUCCACAAUGAGGCAUGAAGAACAGUGUAGAAUGGUGGACUGGGUGCUUGCACAACUGUAGAAUCAUGUUAUAAUUAUUAUGAGGGAAAAUUAUGGCACACAUUUUUGGGGAAAGCUAACAUUUAUAUGUGGCCUUGUGCAUUCAGCAGCAAAAGUUCUUAAAACCCCAACUCACUUCAUUGUGUGGUAGUAGGCUGCAUCCAGUUCUCUCCACAGCCUCUCUCUCCUCAGAGCUAAGCAUUGGGUCAAACAGAGAACAGGGUGUUCCCUUUGGGCACAGCUCCAGUAGCAGGGCCAGCUGCUGUCUGGAUAUGGAGCAGCUUCCAAUGCGACCUAUCCCGUAACAGAUAAACUCUCUGAAUUUGGAACAGUCUAGGCCAUCUGUGCAUAUAAUUAUUAUUAAUUUUGUGUUUCUGAUAUUAAUUUGUGCUUACCCUGAAUUUGUUGCAAGAACUGCGAUUGCCGUAUUGAAUUUCUGAAA